GAUGAACGCUGGCGGCGUGCCUAAUACAUGCAAGUCGAGCGAACAGACGAGGAGCUUGCUCCUCUGACGUUAGCGGCGGACGGGUGAGUAACACGUGGAUAACCUACCUAUAAGACUGGGAUAACUUCGGGAAACCGGAGCUAAUACCGGAUAACAUGUUGAACCGCAUGGUUCAACAGUGAAAGACGGUCUUGCUGUCACUUAUAGAUGGAUCCGCGCCGCAUUAGCUAGUUGGUAAGGUAACGGCUUACCAAGGCAACGAUGCGUAGCCGACCUGAGAGGGUGAUCGGCCAAACUGGAACUGAGACACGGUCCAGACUCCUACGGGAGGCAGCAGUAGGGAAUCUUCCGCAAUGGGCGAAAGCCUGACGGAGCAACGCCGCGGGAGUGAAGAAGGUCUUCGGAUCGUAAAACUCUGUUAUUAGGGAAGAACAAAUGUGUAAGUAACUAUGCACGUCUUGACGGUACCUAAUCAGAAAGCCACGGCUAACUACGUG
rnacentral:rRNA from 1 species